rnacentral:misc_RNA from 1 species
GAUGAAGAACGUAGCGAAAUGCGAUAAGUAAUGUGAAUUGCAGAAUUCAGUGAAUCAUCGAAUCUUUGAACGCACCUUGCGCUCCUUGGUAUUCCGAGGAGCAUGCCUGUUCGAGCGUCAUUUAAACCUUCAAGCUCAGCUUGGUGUUGGGUGACUGUCCGCUUCACCGCGGACUCGCCUCAAAAUUAUUGGCGGCCGGUACAUUGGCUCUCGAGCGCAGCAGAAACGCGUAACUCGAGGUCCUCGUGCUGGCUCCCAGAAGCUAUCUUCACAAUUUUGACCUCGGAUCAGGUAGGGAUACCCGCUGAACUUAAGCAUAUCAAUAAGCGGAGGA